rnacentral:lncRNA from 1 species
AGAAGUUACAAUCUGCUCUUUAUGUAGCUAAUUGGUUUAAUGUAUCAUCCAUGGACCAUACUGUUAUAUAUUGGUUUGUCCUAUACAACAUCAAGAAAAGUUUCCAGCUAAAGUCAAGACUGAAAAUCUGAAAUAAAAUGUCAUUACUUCCAGAACUAUGACCUUGGGCAAUUUAGUAAACCCUUUCAGAAUUCAAUUACUUCAACUAUAAUAUGAUUAUCUACCCUAUCAAGUUGUAAGUCUUGAAUGCAUCAAUUCAUGUAAACUACUUGGAACUGUGCCUAGAAAAUGGUAAGCUAU